AUACCUUUCUCGGCCUUUUGGUUAAGAUCAUGUGUAGUAUAUGUUCUUAUCAGUUUAAUAUCUGAUACGUUGACCAUUGGCUCACUAUAAUAUUAAAUUAUUUUUUUUUAGGGAGGGCCCAUUCUAGCAGCUUGCUACAAGGGUCUUCGAGCGUCGCCUUAGCGUUGCACUAAAGCCAUGGCAGGCGCACCCCUA